rnacentral:rRNA from 1 species
UACAGAGGGUGCGAACGUUGCUCGGAAUUACUGGGCGUAAAGCGCGUGUAGGCGGGUCGGCAAGUCAGAUGUGAAAUCCCUGGGCUCAACCUAGGAAUUGCAUCUGAAACUGCCGGUCUUGAGUGUCGGAGAGGGUAGCGGAAUUCCUGGUGUAGAGGUGAAAUUCAUAGAUAUCAGGAGGAACACAGGUGGCGAAGGCGGCUACCUGGACGACUACUGACGCUGAGACGCGAAAGCGUGGGGAGCAAACAGG